rnacentral:rRNA from 1 species
GACGAACGCUGGCGGCGUGCUUAACACAUGCAAGUCGAGCGGUAAGGCCCUUUCGGGGGUACACGAGCGGCGAACGGGUGAGUAACACGUGGGUGACCUGCCCUUAGCUCUGGGAUAAGCCUGGGAAACUGGGUCUAAUACCGGAUAUGACUCCAUGACGCAUGUUGUGGGGUGGAAAGCCUUGUGCGGCUAGGGAUGGGCCCGCGGCCUAUCAGCUUGUUGGUGGGGUGAUGGCCACCAAGGCGACGACGGGUAGCCGGCCUGAGAGGGCGACCGGCCACACUGGGAUUGAGACACGGCCCAGACUCCUACGGGAGGCAGCAGUGGGGAAUCUUGCGCAAUGGGCGAAAGCCUGACGCAGCGACGCCGCGUGGGGA